AUACGUAGGGGGCGAGCGUUGUCCGGAAUGAUUGGGCGUAAAGGGCGCGUAGGCGGCGCGGUAAGUCUGGAGUGAAAGUCCUGCUUUCAAGGUGGGAAUUGCUUUGGAUACUGCCGAGCUUGAGUGCAGGAGAGGUUAUCGGAAUUCCAGGUGUAGCGGUGAAAUGCGUAGAGAUCGGGAGGAACACCAGUGGCGAAGGCGGGUAACUGGACUGCAACUGACGCUGAGGCGCGAAAGUGUGGGGAGCAAACAGGAUUAGAUACCCUGGUAGUCCACACUGUAAACGAUGAAUGCUAGGUGUAAGAGGUAUCGACCCCUUUUGUGCCGGAGUCAACACAAUAAGCAUUCCGCCUGGGGAGUACGGCCGCAAGGUUGAAACUCAAAGGAAUUGACGGGG
rnacentral:rRNA from 1 species